GACGAACGCUGGCGGCGUGCUUAACACAUGCAAGUCGAGCGGAGCGGCGAACGGGUGAGUAACGCGUGAGUAACUGCCCCCCUCUCUGGGAUACUAGUUGGAACCGGCUGCUAAUACCGGAAAGUGGGGGAUGACUCGCGUCCUAUCAGCUUGUUGGUGGGGUAGUUGCCUACCUAGGCGACGACCGGUAGCCGGCCUGAGAGGGCGACCGGCCACAUUGGGCUGAGCUACGGACCAAACUCCUACGGGACGCAGCGGUGGGGAAGAGUGCACAGUGGGGGAAACCCUGAUGCAGCAACGCGCGUGCGGGAUGACGGCCUUCGGGUUGUAAACCGCUGUCAGCCAUGACGCGGUAGUGGCAGAAGAAGCAACGGCUAACUACGUGCCAGCAGCCGCGGUAAUAC
rnacentral:rRNA from 1 species